UUCUUCUGAGUUUCAUGUGGUUUGUAAAU
rnacentral:piRNA from 1 species